ACAAAGUUGGCAGAAUUAUGUGAAUAAUUUAGGUUUAUUUUAUAAGAUUAUAAAUCUUACUUUGUA
rnacentral:tRNA from 1 species